rnacentral:rRNA from 1 species
GACGAACGCUGGCGGCGUGCCUAAUACAUGCAAGUCGAGCGGACUUUCAAGAAGCUUGCUUUUUGAAAGUUAGCGGCGGACGGGUGAGUAACACGUGGGCAACCUGCCUGCAAGACGGGGAUAACUCCGGGAAACCGGGGCUAAUCCCGGAUAAUAUCUUCCUUCGCAUGAAGGAAGGUUGAAAGGCGGCGCAAGCUGCCGCUUGCAGAUGGGCCCGCGGCGCAUUAGCUAGUUGGUGAGGUAACGGCUCACCAAGGCGACGAUGCGUAGCCGACCGGAGGGGGUGAUCGGCCGCACUGGGACUGAGACACGGCCCAGACUCCUACGGGAGGCAGCAGUAGGGAAUCUUCCGCAAUGGACGAAAGUCUGACGGAGCAACGCCGCGUGAGCGAAGAAGGUCUUCGGAUCGUAAAGCUCGGUUGUCAGGGAAGAACAAGUACCGUUCGAACAGGGCGGUACCUUGACGGUACCUGACCAGAAAGCCACGGCUAACUACGUG